CGCACGGGUGAGUAACGCGUGGAUAAUCUACCCUUAAGAUGGGGAUAACGGCUGGAAACGGUCGCUAAUACCGAAUACGCUCCCGAUUUUAUCGUUGGGGGGAAAGAUGGCCUCUGCUUGCAAGCUAUCGCUUAAGGAUGAGUCCGCGUCCCAUUAGCUAGUUGGCGGGGUAACGGCCCACCAAGGCGACGAUGGGUAGCCGGUCUGAGAGGAUGACCGGCCACACUGGAACUGGAACACGGUCCAG
rnacentral:rRNA from 1 species